rnacentral:rRNA from 1 species
UUGACCUCGGAUCAGGUAGGACUACCCGCUGAACUUAAGCAUAUCAAUAAGCGGAGGAAAAGAAACCAACAGGGAUUGCCCCAGUAACGGCGAGUGAAGCGGCAACAGCUCAAAUUUGAAAUCUGGCCCUCG